AGGGCGCAUGGCGGAUGCCUUGGCUCUCGGAGGCGAUGAAGGACGUGAUAAGCUGCGAUAAGCUUUGGGGAGGUGCAAAUGACCUUUGAUCCAGAGAUUUCCGAAUGGGACAACCCAAUAUCUUGAAGAGGUAUUAUCCAACGUUGUUGGAGGCUAACGCAGGGAACUGAAACAUCUUAGUACCUGCAGGAAAAGAAAAUAAACAAUGAUUCCCCCAGUAGUGGCGAGCGAACGGGGAACAGCCCAAACCAUCCAUGUUACGGCAUGGGUGGGGUUGUAGGACUACGCCGUUGCAUGAAGACAUCAGAGAAGAACUUUCUGGAAAGAAAGACCAUAGAGCAUGACAGUUGCGUAUUCGAAUGUUGUCGAAGCAUAGUAGUAUCCUGAGUAGCGCGGAGCACGAGGAAUUCUGCGUGAAUCUGCCGGGACCAUCCGGUAAGGCUAAAUACUCCCGAGAGACCGAUAGCGAACCAGUACCGUGAGGGAAAGGUGAAAAGCACUUCGAACAGAAGAGUGAAAUAGUUCCUGAAACCGUGCGCCUACAAGCGGUCGGAGCUCGUUAAUGAGUGACGGCGUGCCUUUUGCAUAAUGAACCUACGAGUUGCCUUUGCCGGCAAGGUUAAGUGUGACGACACACGUAUCCGAAGCGAAAGCGAGUCUGAACAGGGCGUAUAGUCGGCAGUGGCAGACGCGAAACCAAGUGAUCUACCCUUGGCCAGGUUGAAGGCUGGGUAACACCAGCUGGAGGACCGCACCAAUAAGCGUUGAAAAGCUUCUGGAUGAGCUGAGGGUAGGGGUGAAAGGCUAAUCAAACUUGGAGAUAGCUCGUACUCCCCGAAAUGCAUUUAGGUGCAGCCUUGCGGGUUACUGAUGUGAGGUAGAGCGACUGAUAAGAUGCGAGGGCUUCACCGCCUAUCAAGUCUUGACAAACUCCGAAUGCGCAUCAGUUCUACCGCAGGAGUGAGGGCAUGGGUGCUAAGGUCCGUGCCCGAGAGGAGAAGAAUCCGGACCACCUGCUAAGGUCCCGAAAUGACAGCUAAGUUAAACUAACGAAGUCUGACUGCUAAGACAGCUAGGAUGUUGGCUUGGAAGCAGCCAUUCAUUUAAAGAGUGCGUAACAGCUCACUAGUCGAGGAGUCGGGCGUGGAUAAUAAUCGGGUAUUAAGUUGUCUACCGAAGCAGUGGGAUCAUUAAUAUGAUCGGUAGGGGAGCAUUCCAGUCAGCGUCGAAGGCGUACCGUGAGGUAUUCUGGAGCGUCUGGAAAAGCAAAUGUAGGUAUAAGUAACGAUAAAGGGGGCGGGAAACCCCCUCGCCGAAAGACUAAGGUUUCCUGAUCAACGCUAAUCGGAUCAGGGUCAGUCGGGUCCUAAGGCUCAGCCGAACGGCGAUGCCGAUGGCAGAAACGGUUAAUAUUCCGUUACUACCUUCAGGAGUGACGUGGAGACGCAGUAGUGACAGUGCCGCCAUCUGACGGAAUAGAUGGUUGAAGGGUGUAGGAGUCGAUCAUGGCAGGCAAAUCCACCAUGAGAUCCGAACCUGACAGUAUGCCGCGUCCUUCGGGACAAGGCAAUAGUGCGCGUAAGCAUGCUGCCGAGAAAAUCCGCUAAACUUAAUCCUGCAGGUACCCGUACCGCAAACGGACACACGUAGUCGGGAUGAAUAUUCUAAGGCGCUUGAGUGAUUCACGGUUAAGGAACUAGGCAAACUGACCCUGUAACUUCGGGAUAAAGGGUCCCUACCCUUUUAUGGGAGGGCGCAGAGAAUCGGUCCAGGCAACUGUUUAACAAAAACACAGGGCUGUGCCAAAUCGAAAGAUCCAGUAUACAGCCUGACACCUGCCCGGUGCUGGAAGGUUAAGAGGAGAUGUCAUCGAUAAGAGAAGCGUUGAAUUGAAGCCCCAGUAAACGGCGGCCGUAACUAUAACGGUCCUAAGGUAGCGAAAUUCCUUGUCGGGUAAGUUCCGACCUGCACGAAUGGUGUAAUGAUCUGGACGCUGUCUCAACCGUGAGCUCAGUGAAAUUGUAGUAUCGGUGAAGAUGCCGAUUACCCGCGAUGGGACGAAAAGACCCCGUGAACCUUUACUAUAGCUUAUCAUUGAAUCUGGGCACGUGAUGUGUAGGAUAGGUCGGAGGCUUUGAAGCAGGUACGCCAGUAUUUGUGGAGCCGCUGUUGAAAUACGACCCUUUAUUUGUUUGGAUUCUAACCCGUGGAACGGGGACAUUGAUUGGUGGGUAGUUUGACUGGGGUGGUCGCCUCCAAAAGCGUAACGGAGGCUUCUAAAGGUGCCCUCCGGCCGAUUGGUAACCGGCCUUAGAGUGUAAUGGCAUAAGGGCGCUUGACUGGGAGACUGACAAGUCGAUCAGGUAGGAAACUAGAGCAUAGUGAUCCGGUGUUUCCGUAUGGAAGGGACAUCGCUCAAAGGAUAAAAGGUACUCCGGGGAUAACAGGCUGAUCCCUCCCAAGA
rnacentral:rRNA from 1 species